AAAUAGCCCUGAUGGUAGUGACAUCCUUUUUGUUUCUCUCGAUAUUACCACAAACGUUGUUUGUUCCUCUUAAUAUCAAAUGCUCGAGAUGACGGCAAAAAGAUACAACGUACAGCAGGAAAAAGC
rnacentral:sRNA from 1 species